UGUUGUUCGUUAAAAGUGCUGUUUGAUGCCC
rnacentral:piRNA from 1 species